rnacentral:lncRNA from 1 species
GGGGGCGGCGCGGGCAGGGCCGGUGCUGGCCGCCGGCUGGUCGCCCAGGCCGCUGCCCGGGCCGCGCAGCGGGUACCUGAUGUCUGUGCGACGCUUUGCUGGGGAGCGCCAAGUUAGAGAGCUCUUCUCUGCCCUGGCCUGUUGCUGGUCCUCCCACAACUUAAUGAGAUGAGAAACAAGGUUUGCCUAUUGAACUUGGGCUCAAACUGACUGAGGGAAAUAGGAGCUGAAAUGAGCAGCGUUGCACACAGACCAGGAACAUGCAGGCAUGGAACGAGUUGCAAAUUGGCCUCUAUGGAUGCAGGAUGCAAACAGGCGGCAGUGGAAAAUGCCAGAGUGUUUGGGAGCUAGGCCAGGAGGUGGAUAGGUAUGCAGCUGGUCGUCUGUCUCACAGCUUUAGAGAACAUAGGUAAUUACUGCAUGCCAUACACCUUCCUGAUGAAAUGCUUUUUGGAAAAUCAAAGUUAUUUGUCUGGUUCCAAGUCAGAGACAGUGUCU